rnacentral:rRNA from 1 species
CCUACGGGAGGCAGCAGUGGGGAAUAUUGCGCAAUGGGGGAAACCCUGACGCAGCAACGCCGCGUGAGUGAGGAAGGACUUCGGUCUGUAAAGCUCUGUUAAUGAGGAAAAAUGGUAGUUGGUCUAAUAGGCCGAUUAUUUGAUGGUACUCAUAGAGGAAGCACCGGCUAACUUCGUGCCAGCAGCCGCGGUAAUACGAAGGGUGCAAGCGUUGUUCGGAUUUAUUGGGCGUAAAGCGCGCGUAGGCGGACCCGCAAGUCAGAUGUGAAAUCUCGAGGCUCAACCUCGAAACUGCGUCUGAAACUACGGGUCUAGAAUCUCGGAGGGGGAAGGGGAAUUUCGCAUGUAGGGGUAAAAUCCGUAGAUAUGCGAAGGAACACCAGAGGCGAAGGCGCCUUCCUGGACGAGUAUUGACGCUGAGGCGCGAAAGCGUGGGGAUCAAACAGGAUUAGAUACCCUGGUAGUCCACGCUGUAAACGAUGAACACUAGGUAUUGGAGGAUUUGACCCCUUCAGUGCCGUAGCUAACGCGUUAAGNGUUCCGCCGUGGGAAGUACGGUCGCAAGAACUAAACUCAAAGGAAUUGACGGNNGAGAGNGCGAGGACGACGACGAGGAGGAGG